UUCUUAGUGGCGAACGGGUGAGUAACGCGUGGGCAACCUGCCCUCUAGAUGGGGACAACAUCCCGAAAGGGGUGCUAAUACCGAAUGUGACAGCAAUCUCGCAUGAGGAUGCUGUGAAAGAUGGCCUCUAUUUAUAAGCUAUCGCUAGAGGAUGGGCCUGCGUCUGAUUAGCUAGUUGGUGGGGUAACGGCCUACCAAGGCGAUGAUCAGUAGCCGGUCUGAGAGGAUGAACGGCCACAUUGGGACUGAGACACGGCCCAGACUCCUACGGGAGGCAGCAGUGGGGAAUCUUCCGCAAUGGGCGAAAGCCUGACGGAGCAAUGCCGCGUGAGUGAUGAAGGAAUUCGUUCCGUAAAGCUCUUUUGUUUAUGACGAAUGUGCAGGUUGUGAAUAAUGAUCUGUAAUGACGGUAGUAAACGAAUAAGCCACGGCUAACUACGUGCCAGCAGCCGCGGUAAUACGUAGGUGGCGAGCGUUGUCCGGAAUUAUUGGGCGUAAAGAGCAUGUAGGCGGUUUUUUAAGUCUGGAGUGAAAAUGCGGGGCUCAACCCCGUAUGGCUCUGGAUACUGGAAGACUUGAGUGCAGGAGAGGAAAGGGGGAAUUCCCAGUGUAGCGGU
rnacentral:rRNA from 1 species